GCUCAAAUUUAAAAUCUGGCGGUCUUUUGGCUGUCCGAGUUGUAAUCUAGAGAAGUGUUAUCCGCGCUGGACCGUGUACAAGUUUCCUGGAAUGGAGCAUCAUANAGGGUGAGAAUCCCGUCUUUGACAUGGACUACCAGGGCUUUGUGAUGCGCUCUCAAAGAGUCGAGUUGUUUGGGAAUGCAGCUCAAAAUGGGUGGUAAAUUCCAUCUAAAGCUAAAUAUUGGCGAGAGACCGAUAGCGAACAAGUACCGUGAGGGAAAGAUGAAAAGAACUUUGGAAAGAGAGUUAAACAGUACGUGAAAUUGCUGAAAGGGAAACGCUUGAAGUCAGUCGCGUCAUCCAGGGAUCAACCUUGCUUUUGCUUGGUGCACUUUCUGGUUUGAUGGGUCAGCAUCAAUUUUGACCAUCGGAAAAAGGUCAAGGGAAUGUGGCAUCUUCGGAUGUGUUAUAGCCCUUGGUCACAUACAAUGGUUGGGAUUGAGGAACUCAGCACGCCGCAAGGCCGGGUUUUNNNNNACGUUCGUG
rnacentral:rRNA from 1 species